rnacentral:rRNA from 1 species
CAGUCGAGGGGUAUUGGUUUUCGGACCAGAGACCGGCGCACGGGUGCGUAACGCGNNNGCAAUCUACCUUUCACAGAGGGAUAGCCCAGAGAAAUUUGGAUUAAUACCUCAUAGUAUGCAGAGUUGGCAUCAACCCUGCAUUAAAGUCACAACGGUGAAAGAUGAGCAUGCGUCCCAUUAGCUAGUUGGUAAGGUAACGGCUUACCAAGGCAACGAUGGGUAGGGGUCCUGAGAGGGAGAUCCCCCACACUGGUACUGAGACACGGACCAGACUCCUACGGGAGGCAGCAGUGAGGAAUAUUGGACAAUGGGCGCAAGCCUGAUCCAGCCGUGCCGCGUGCAGGAUGACGGUCCUAUGGAUUGUAAACUGCUUUUGUACGAGAAGAAACACUCCUUCGUGAAGGAGCUUGACGGUACCGUAAGAAUAAGGAUCGGCUAACUCCGUGCCAGCAGCCGCGGUAAUACGGAGGAUCCAAGCGUUAUCCGGAAUCAUUGGGUUUAAAGGGUCCGUAGGCGGUUUAGUAAGUCAGUGGUGAAAGCCCAUCGCUCAACGGUGGAACGGCCAUUGAUACUGCUAGACUUGAAUUAUUAGGAAGUAACUAGAAUAUGUAGUGUAGCGGUGAAAUGCUUAGAGAUUACAUGGAAUACUCANNNNNAAGGCANGUUACUACUAAU